GCUUUUGAUGGGCGUCGACCGGCGCACGGGUGAGUAACGCGUAUCCAACCUGCCCAUCACUUGGGGAUAACCUUGCGAAAGUAAGACUAAUACCCAAUGACGUCUCUAGAAGACAUCUGAAAGAGAUUAAAGAUUUAUCGGUGAUGGAUGGGGAUGCGUCUGAUUAGCUUGUUGGCGGGGUAACGGCCCACCAAGGCGACGAUCAGUAGGGGUUCUGAGAGGAAGGUCCCCCACAUUGGAACUGAGACACGGUCCAAACUCCUACGGGAGGCAGCAGUGAGGAAUAUUGGUCAAUGGGCGAGAGCCUGAACCAGCCAAGUAGCGUGCAGGAUGACGGCCCUAUGGGUUGUAAACUGCUUUUAUAAGGGAAUAAAGUGAGUCUCGUGAGGCUUUUUGCAUGUACCUUAUGAAUAAGGACCGGCUAAUUCCGUGCCAGCAGCCGCGGUAAUACGGAAGGUCCGGGCGUUAUCCGGAUUUAUUGGGUUUAAAGGGAGCGUAGGCCGGAGAUUAAGCGUGUUGUGAAAUGUAGACGCUCAACGUCUGCACUGCAGCGCGAACUGGUUUCCUUGAGUACGCACAAAGUGGGCGGAAUUCGUGGUGUAGCGGUGAAAUGCUUAGAUAUCACGAAGAACUCCGAU
rnacentral:rRNA from 1 species